AGCUAGUUGGUGAGGUAAUGGCUCACCAAGGGCGACGAUCCCCUAGCUGGUUUUGAGAGGAUGAUCAGCCACACUGGAACUGAGACACGGUCCAGACUCCUACGGGAGGCAGCAGUGGGGAAUAUUGGACAAUGGGCGCAAGCCUGAUCCAGCCAUGCCGCGUGUGUGAAGAAGGCCCUUCGGGUUGUAAAGCACUUUCAGCGAGGAGGAAGGGUUGUGUGUUAAUAGCACAUAGCCUUGACGUUACUCGCAGAAGAAGCACCGGCUAACUCUGUG
rnacentral:rRNA from 1 species